rnacentral:rRNA from 1 species
AACGAACGCUGGCGGCAUGCCUAACACAUGCAAGUCGAACGAGACCUUCGGGUCUAGUGGCGCACGGGUGCGUAACGCGUGGGAACCUGCCCUUAGGUUCGGAAUAACUCCCCGAAAGGGGUGCUAAUACCGGAUAAUGUCUUCGGACCAAAGAUUUAUCGCCUUUGGAUGGGCCCGCGUUGGAUUAGCUAGUUGGUAGGGUAAAAGCCUACCAAGGCGACGAUCCAUAGCUGGUCUGAGAGGAUGAUCAGCCACACUGGGACUGAGACACGGCCCAGACUCCUACGGGAGGCAGCAGCGGGGAAUAUUGGACAAUGGGCGAAGGCCUGAUCCAGCAAUGCCGCGUGAGUGAUGAAGGCCUUAGGGUUGUAAAGCUCUUUUACCCGGGAUGAUAAUGACAGUACCGGGAGAAUAAGCUCCGGCUAACUCCGUG